rnacentral:rRNA from 1 species
GGACUACUCGGGUAUCUAAUCCUGUUUGCUCCCCACGCUGUCGCGCCUGAGCGUCGGUAACGGGCCAGUGAGCCGCCUUCGCCACUGGUGUUCUUCCGAAUAUCUACGAAUUUCACCUCUACACUCGGAAUUCCACUCACCUCUCCCGUACCCAAGUCCUCUAGUUUCGAAGGCAGUUCCAGAGUUGAGCUCUGGGCUUUCACCCCCGACUUAAAGGACCGCCUGCGCGCGCUUUACGCCCAGUAAUUCCGAACAACGCUAGCCCCCUUCGUAUUACCGCGGCUGCUGGCAC